CCAAGAACCAAGUGAGCCAAGAAUAGAGCAGUGCUUUAAAACUCCUGGCAAAGCAGCAACAGGAUGAAGAGUUGGUUUUGCAUAGUUCUGAACACAGGAGUAAAGAAGCAGAGGCACCUCUUCCCAAAAGGCGCCGGAAUCCUACGGCAUCAACGGAUCCGUCGCGGGGCGGGGGUGCGGGGGGUAUUUCUCAAAGUCUCCCAGGGCACUCACCCCUCCCUACCCCGCCCCACUACUCCGUCCACCCUUCCUCCCUCCACCUCCAGGACCCGCCCACCCCCCGGGGGUGUGCAGCACUUCUUAAGCUCUAGCCCCCAGGGGCCACCUCUGCAGCCCGGACUCUUCCUGGAGCUUGGCAAGUUCUGGGACUGAAAGCCAGGCUUGCACGGCCACCAGGGGCCACUCGUGCCUGGAGGUCGGGGGGUGGGGUGUACGUGGGGGAACUAGAGCUUUAAAGGCCACCCACUUCCUUCGAGGGGAUGAGGAACGCAUCUUCCUCACAGUGCUUCUCAGGGGUCAGCCCGCUCUUCACUCGACGGUGAUCAAUACUCACUCGACGCGGCUCGGACCACCUCCUGUGCCCCUGGACUCCGCCCUAAGGGUCCUCUGGCGUCUGUGACGGCGCGGGUCCCGGCCUCUUCAGUCGGCUCAGGCCAGCGCUUCACGGGUCCCUGCAGUCCCCUCCCCCGUCCCCUCCCCCCCGGCACUUUCUCUAACCGAGGAAGGAGCGGAGAGGAACUUGGCUGAAUCAAGGGAACUGCGAGCCUAUGGAUGAGUUUUAAACCCGAGAGCCAAUUAAAUAUUAUUGGAACCUACUGUAAGGGCGGGGAAGGGGAGGUCAGGAGGCGGAGAGGCUGAGUCCCACGGCGGCGGGUCCAGCCCCGGAACCCAGCACAGCCCUCCUUCGGCCCUUCCCCGCCGUCAGGACGAGGGGCGCUGCCACCCCAGCCGGGACCCUGCGCCUCCCCGCCCCCGAUUCUCCUCAGGACGCGCAAGUCGGCCCCUCCCCACCCACGCCGGGCCGAGCAAGCCGAGCGGAGGGCAGGGGCGAGACGAAGGGCCCAAGUUCCCCGGACUAAGACGCCGCGCGCAGCUCUUGCUACACAUCAGCUGCGGCUCUGGGAAAACGCCUGCGCCUCAAAGCGGGAAUAUCUGGAAGGCGGUGGGAGCGAUGCUUCACACAUUGUAGGAAACGUCUUGGAUGGAUGCCCAACUGCCACCAAAACCGGUGAGGGUAUCUCUCACCUCUGCAUCUUCGGUGUCUACAAGAGCGCCUGGCACAUGGCCUCUCACUGUUGCUGCCUCUCCCGUUGCGAAGCACAGGCUCCGGAUGCACGGGCUCCGCGGCCAUGGCUCACGGGCGCUCCGCGGCAUGUGGGAUCUUUCCGGACCGGGGCACGAACCCAUGUCCCCUGCAUCGGCAGGCGGACUCUCAACCACUGUGCCACCAGGGAAGCCCCCCUUCCUGUAUUUUUAUUAGCCACAUUGAAAGGAAAAUGAUCAGGUGAUUGUAUAGAAUUUUAAAGUGAACAAUGUGCCUUUAAAAUUGCUUAAUAAACAAGUGGUUAAAAUAUCAUCAGAGAUGUUACCGGAAUUCAGUUAGGAUGGUAUGUGUCACAUCUGAUGGACAAUGGAAUGGUAAAUAACAAAUCAAAUAAGUAAAUGCUCACAUAGAAAAAUACAACAUAGCAUUUUAUGAAUAAGAGCUUAUUGCCAUAAUAAGAUAUAUAAAAUUGACUUCAUGGAUAUAAAUAGCAAAAGAAAAACCCCAAAGCAAAACUUUUUUUUAAUCAAUUUUCUCUCCAGACCAAAAAAAAAAAAAAAAGCCUAAGAAGUAAAAUAAAAUUAGGAAUUUACCUACUGGUCUGUGUCCUUCCAAUGGACACAAAAAUUUUAACAUGCAUUUGGUUGUAGCAGGCUGUUGACCUGUUUAACUAAGGGGAGGUGUUUGAUUUUGUUCAUGUAACCUGAUGUGAAUACAGAAGGGCUAGAGCUCUUGAACCUGAAGAUAUUUCAAACUAGGAAGUAGCAACAAAUCUUCAGGUUACUCGUGCUUGUUAGAUUGAAUUGCUGUGGUACACGGAGCUCAUUGGAAGAGCAGUUGGCUAGUUGUCCCCUUUAGACAGUUUGUACCAAGUGGGUGGACAUCCUGGAAAUAUUCAAAAGUAUCCUAGAAUCUCAGGGUCGCAGAGUACCUUCCAUACCAAUGAGUAGCCCAUAUGUACUUACAAAUGGGCUGUUCAGUGAACAAAUUGUUUGCUUAAUUAUUGUAUCAAAGCAUAAUCUAAACAGUGAUAUAGGCAUUUGGCCAAGUAAUUCAUGGUGUUUAGUAAUUUAUCUAUGGGAGACUUGGCCCUGGAAAAUAGCCCCCUCUAACCUACCUGAUUUUAGGAAUUUAGGUACAUAACAAGACCAUGUGAUUAUGCACUGGGUUGACUUUACUGUUCUGUCACCCCACCACUUACAUAUGCCCUAAUUUUUGUUGCACAUGUGGGCUUAGGGAUUUUACAAAUAGAAGAGCCACUGAAGUAUUUUCUCAGUUCCUUAUAUUACACAUAUAGUGGUUAGAAACAGAACAAAUGUGACCAUUUGCUGGUAACAGUGCUAGAUGAUUGGGAAAAAAAAAAGAUGACCCCUAAUCUCUCCUAAUUAUACACAUUUAUCUAUACAACUUAGAUAAAUGAAAUAUUAAUAUUCCAUAUGCAUCAUAUGAAACCCAUCAUUCUUCCCUUACUGUUAACUCCCUGGAUAGGUUAUAUUUCCUGAUGCCCAUUGUUUGGCUUCUUUCCUCUCUGGUUUCCACUUUUUUAUUUAGUUGAUGUUCAAGAGCCUACUGAAACAGACAUACAAGAACUGAAUGGAAUUUCUCAGGCAGGAAUUUCUUAUGUAAAGUGGCCUCUCACUGAACUAUGGUUUUGCUCAUCCACCAGACUUACAGAGUGCAGCUGACUCUGUGAAAAGGCUCUGUCAAUGGAACCAACCCCAGUGCCAAUGCAGGGGCUCAUUCAUUUACUGAGAGCACCCACUGAGAGGAGAUCCUUUUCCCAACACAGUUUAAUAAGACAUGAUAUUCAAACCUGAGUACUCAAGACAGCUUUUAAAAGAAUAAAACAUCCUCUGAGAGAUCCAAAGACCCAAUGUAAAAACACUCAUAUUUUAUUCUACAAAAAGAUGUUUCAAUUGUAAAUGAUCACUGCAAAAGCAAUGGUUUAUAAGAGGGAGUGGUUUCUGCAACUGGGCCUUCUAUAUGGAAAUGAUGAAUAUUUGGUUACCCUUUGAGCCCCUCCUAUGGUUAUUAUUUCCCCUCCUGGAGUUUAGGAACUUUUAUUAUUUUCUAUUCCCAUUUUCCAAAGAAUUGCAGAUGUGCUUGGUAGGAUAGAUACCUGAGGGAAGUGCAUAGGCUUAGAACAAAAACAGCCUUUAUGCUAUUAGUACAUGGGGAAAUUAAAAGUUACCCCCCAUAAAAGAAUUUAUUGUGCUAAAACUAUAUGAGAAACUCUGAGUGGAACUUUGGUUACCAGGGAAGAGACAAGUCGCUUCUUGGGGAAGGGGUGACAUCACCAAGAAUGUAGUGAGAAUAAGAGAAGAUAAAUGAUGGCUGAUCUAGGAAUCUGCAGUUGGGAGUGACAUGAAUAAGCCCAACUUCCAAACUCUCUCCUGCUCAGGAGUGAUAUCAGUGUAUUGCUCACUUAGUGUAGCUCUAGGGACCAUGGAACAGGGUAACAUUUUGGAGAAAGGGAAUCAAAAGUCUCUAUCCUAUUGAAGAUGCCAAAAGGAGGAUUUAAAAUGUGUUCCAUUUGACUAUAUUUUCAAACGCACUUUCUCAAAAACAAAAGCAGGACACCUUCUUCAGAAAUCAUUUACACACAUAUAUUGCAAAAGGUAACAAAAUAUAUAUUUUGUUACCAAAAAAAAAAAAGAUAAUAUACAGGAAUGCCUGUAUAUGAAGAGGAAGUAGUUAGAAAGAUACAUAUAAAAAUGUUAACAGUGGUUACCUUUGGGGAGCGGGAAUGGGGCUGGGGACUAGUGUGGGAGUGAGUACUUGCUUCUCACUUUAUAUAUUCCAUAUUUGAAAAAAAAUGUUCACCUGAAGUGGGUAUCCUUUUUUUUAAUUUGGGGGUUUUUUUGUUUGCUUUUUUUCUUGUGCUUGAGACUUAAAAAUUGAAGUAUAGUUGAUGUAUUUCAAUAUAAAAGGUAUCAUUUUUAUAAUAAUUAAACUUCUAAAAAUAUUUCUUUGUGUACCUGAUCUGUGUAAGAACAGAAGGCAGAAGAGGUGUUAGAACAAUGUAAGAGUGACAUCAUAGUGUCCAAAUGUGUUUGGAUGCAGAAUGUCAUUGAUAAUCAUGUUUGACUAAUAAAUACUGGUAUUAAGAUGACUUCUGAUUUGUAAGCUCUUAAUUACAGAUACUAAAAAGGGGUGAUAACUAAUUGUCAAAAAUCAGAAGCAACCAAGAUGUCCCUCGAUAGGUGAAUGGAU
rnacentral:lncRNA from 1 species